GAUGAACGCUGGCGGCGUGCUUAACACAUGCAAGUCGAACGGUGAAGGCGGAGCUUGCUCUGCUGGAUCAGUGGCGAACGGGUGAGUAACACGUGAGCAAUCUGCCCCUGACUCUGGGAUAAGCGCUGGAAACGGCGUCUAAUACUGGAUACGAGCUGCGAAGGCAUCUUCAGCAGCUGGAAAGAAUUUCGGUCAGGGAUGAGCUCGCGGCCUAUCAGCUUGUUGGUGAGGUAACGGCUCACCAAGGCGUCGACGGGUAGCCGGCCUGAGAGGGUGACCGGCCACACUGGGACUGAGGCGCGGCCCAGACUGCUACGGGAGGCAGCAGUGGGGAAUAUUGCACAAUGGGCGAAAGCCUGAUGCAGCAACGCCGCGUGAGGGACGACGGCCUUCGGGUUGUAAACCUCUUUUAGCAGGGAAGAAGCGAAAGUGACGGUACCUGCAGAAAAAGCGCCGGCUAACUACGUG
rnacentral:rRNA from 1 species